AGCGAACGCUGGCGGCGUGCCUAAUACAUGCAAGUCGAGCGAACUGAUUAGAAGCUUGCUUCUAUGACGUUAGCGGCGGACGGGUGAGUAACACGUGGGCAACCUGCCUGUAAGACUGGGAUAACUUCGGGAAACCGAAGCUAAUACCGGAUAGGAUCUUCUCCUUCAUGGGAGAUGAUUGAAAGAUGGUUUCGGCUAUCACUUACAGAUGGGCCCGCGGUGCAUUAGUUAGUUGGUGAGGUAACGGCUCACCAAGGCAACGAUGCAUAGCCGACCUGGGAGGGUGGCCGGCCACACUGGGACUGAGACACGGCCCAGACUCCUACGGGAGGCAGCAGUAGGGAAUCUUCCGCAAUGGACGAAAGUCUGACGGAGCAACGCCGCGUGAGUGAUGAAGGCUUUCGGGUCGUAAAACUCUGUUGUUAGGGAAGAACAAGUACGAGAGUAACUGCUCGUACCUUGACGGUACUUAACCAGAAAGCCACGGCUAACUACGUGCCAGCCGCCGCCGUAACAC
rnacentral:rRNA from 1 species